AAGUCGUAACAAGGUAACCGUAGGUGAACCUGCGGUUGGAUCAUUAAAAAUAUGAAAACCCACUCGUGGUGACCUUUGUCCCCACGAGUAUAAUCUAAAUACCACAUCUUGUGAACCGUACCGUCUUUGGUGGUGGGGUGGACGCUGCGGUCAGCAGCGCGCCAUCUGUCAGCUUGGAUCGAAAGCUCCGGGCCGUGGACAAGCCACCGCAUGUAUUCAAACCUUUGCUUGCUGUUUUUGUCUGACGAUUCAUUCUGUAUUACAUAUACAAACAACUUUUGGCAACGGAUCUCUUGGUUCUC
rnacentral:misc_RNA from 1 species